AAAUUGUCUAGGUUGAAAUUAUUCCAAUUUGUCUAGGCUUAUUGGCUCUCGCAUUUUGUUGUCAUAAACUAAGAAUAGGCAAUUUACACGUAUCAACACAAGUUGGAAUCCUUUUAUUUAUUCAUAACUUUUUAAGUCAUUAUCUAUUUAUGGUUUAAGUAGGCAUUGUGACAAAGGCUUCGUACUAACUGGACCCCUCAAACGGGUUUCUAUAGUAAAUUUGACCAUCUACUGGGUAAUUCUUUUCAACAAUCAAACAUUAGAAAAAAUAAAUUGAUCAAAAGUACAUUGACAGAGUUUGAAAUAUAGAACAAAUAAUUAAGAGGGUGUUCAGCUGAAUUUAUAAGCUUUUUAAAUCAAUUUAUAAAUUAUUUAAAAAUUUAUAAGCUCUUUUAAAAUAUUUAGCAAAAUAAGUUUCAAGAGUUUAUAAGCUCCCAAAAAAUAAGAGAGAAAGGUAAAAGUCUUGUCGGUAAUUGGCCGGUAUAGUGUUAGGAAUAAGAUUAUAAAAUAAUAGUAUAACAGUGAAAUAAAACUCACGAAUUAUUUAUCCACCGCUUGAGGGCGCUGUCAAGCCAAGACAUUUUUUACUGGGGGAUGUUUACUUUGAAGAAUUAGUCUUGAUAUAUAAAAAUAGUAAGGUUAAUUCCUUGUUUAUUUUGAUGGAUUGAAACUUUAGGAUAUGCCAAGGUCUUUAAUUAUUUCUAUCAUUUAAGCUAGUUUUGCUUUAUUCCUAUCAAUUAAAAACGGCGGGAUUGGAGAAAUUGUAUUCUUGAAGAUAAAAAUACUCAAUCAUGCAAAAUAAAUGCUCCCUAAAAAUUUUAUAACGAGAGACUAUGUAUAAGAAGGAGAAAACCUCAAUAAACUCAUGAAUCCUAAAAUGAUUAGAAUUUCUCUAGCUCAUAAAUUAUACUCCCUUCGCUCCAUUACUUUAGAUAAAGUGUGUUGGUGAAAUUAUUUAAAUAUUAUGUAUAGAGAGAGAAUAUCUUGUCAAAAAAUAAACGUGACGUUUAUAAUGUGACAUCUUAUUAUGGAAAGUGGGACAUUUGUAAUGGGACGAAGGGAGUAGUAUAAUUCUACUUUUAUGAGGCUCCAUAAUAGACCAUUUAGCCCUAUUGUAUGGUCAUAUGGAAAUCUAUUUUUUCACAAAUUAUUUCAAAAACACUUCAUAUCAUUCUCAACCCUUCAAUUGUGAAUAUUGACAGUGAAUAUAUGGAUGGAUGUAGUAUCUGAAAUUGAAUUUUAGAGAAAGAGAAGAUUUUAUUAUUUUGUAGUGUAGUAAAUUUCUGUAUGAAUAUAAUAAUUUUAUAAGUGCAAUAUAAUACUAUCACAUUCUCAGAACUGUCAAGGAGGAUCGGGUGUCCCAUUAAAAGUGGCUACUUUCUAAAAAUGGCAAAAGUUUACUUUAAUUAAGUCAACAAUUACUCACUAAUUUGGUCAACAAAUGUAGGCCACUUUCUAAAAAUAUCAAAAUUACUCACUAAUUUGGUCAACAAUUGUAGGCCACUUUCUAAAAAUUACUCACUAAUUUUGGUGGGUCACACUCAAUUAAAGCAUAACAAUCCCCUUCUUAAUCUCCGUGCCCAAAAAAAAGUGGCCACUUUUAUUGGGACGGAGGGAGUAUUAUCACAUUCUCAGAACUGUCAAGGAGGAUCGGGUAGUCGGACAUAACUGGGCCAAUCUGGAUCAGGCCUUGGGCCAUUUUGGACACUUUUGUAUCAUAUCAUCUUUUAUUCAUUUCACGAAUGAGUGGAAAUGAUCUCUAACUAAAUAUCC
rnacentral:lncRNA from 1 species